rnacentral:rRNA from 1 species
GAUCAUGGCUCGAGGACGAACGCUGGCGGCGUGCCUAACACAUGCAAGUCGAACGGGGAUUUGUUCGGCAGAAUCCUAGUGGCGAACGGGUGAGUAACGCGUAGGCAACCUGCCCUCCGGCCGGGGACAACACUCCGAAAGGGGUGCUAAUACCGGAUACGAAGUCUGUGCCGCAUGGUACGGAUUUGAAAGAUGGCCUCUAUUUAUAAGCUAUCGGCCGGGGAUGGGCCUGCGUCCGAUUAGCUGGUGGGGGGUAACGGCCCACCAAAGCGACGAUCGGUAGCCGACCUGAGAGGGUGAUCGGCCACAUUGGAACUGAGAGACGGUCCAAACUCCUACGGGAGGCAGCAGUGGGGAAUAUUGGGCAAUGGGCGAAAAAGCCUGACCCAGCAACGCCGCGUGAGUGAAGAAGGCCUUCGGGUUGUAAAGCUCUGUUAUAGGGGACGAAGGAAGUGACGGUACCCUAUAAGGAAGCCCCGGCUAACUACGUGCCAGCCGCCGC